GGUUUUCUUGCUGUUCUUGUAACAUGAGUUGGGAUGGGUUGAUAAUUUCGCAUAUCGCUGUUUUUGGCGCUCUUUAUUGUGCGUGGGUAGACUUAUUAAACAUUCGUUACUAGUAUGAACAUUGUUGUUUGGUGAGGUAUUAUCCUGUGAGUUCGUAUAUCGAUCAAUGGUACCCGGAGUAGGAGGCUCACUUGCUAACUCUGUUAUUGUGCUUGUGUUAUGUCUACUAUUAUUUUCUAUCACUGGGGCUACGUGCAUAGUUGUACUAUUAUUAACGGCGAUGCAUUCGUUGUCUUCG